AAGUCGUAACAAGGUUUCCGUAGGUGAACCUGCGGAAGGAUCAUUAUUGAAUGAAUUCGAGUCUUACGGUUGUCGCUGGCCUCUCGGGGCAUGUGCACGCCUGGCUCAUUUCCAUCCUUCACACCUCUGUGCACUUUCCCAUGGGUUGAAUGUUCAGUAGUCUCGAAAGAGGCCUUCUGGACUUUUGGCCUGUGUGUUCUACAACAUACACCUGUCUGUCUCAGAAUGUAUACUUGUCAUGCAUUUAAUUGCAUAUAAUACAACUUUCAACAACGGAUCUCUUGGCUCUC
rnacentral:misc_RNA from 1 species